AUUGAACGCUGGCGGCAUGCCUUACACAUGCAAGUCGAACGGUAACGGGCCUUCGGGUGCCGACGAGUGGCGAACGGGUGAGUAAUGUAUCGGAACGUACCUUUCAGUGGGGGAUAACGUAACGAAAGUUACGCUAAUACCGCAUAUUCCGUGAGCAGGAAAGCUGGGGAUCGCCAUACCUUGCGCUGAUUGAGCGGCCGAUAUCAGAUUAGCUAGUUGGUGAGGUAAAAGCUCACCAAGGCGACGAUCUGGAGCGGGUCUGAGGGGAUGAUCCGCCACACUGGAACUGAGACACGGUCCAGACUCCUACGGGAGGCAGCAGUGGGGAAUUUUGGACAAUGGGGGCAACCCUGAUCCAGCCAUGCCGCGUGAGUGAAGAAGGCCUUCGGGUUGUAAAGCUCUUUCGGCCGGGAAGAAAUCGUAUCAGCUAAUACCUGGUGCGGAUGACGGUACCGGCAUAAGAAGCACCGGCUAACUACGUGCCAGCCGCCGCGGUAAGAC
rnacentral:rRNA from 1 species